rnacentral:rRNA from 1 species
CCUACGGGGGGCAGCAGUGGGGAAUAUUGGACAAUGGGGGCAACCCUGAUCCAGCCAUGCCGCGUGUGUGAAGAAGGCCCUCGGGUUGUAAAGCACUUUCAGUGAGGAAGAACGCCUGGUGGUUAAUACCCAUCAGGAAAGACAUCACUCACAGAAGAAGCACCGGCUAACUCCGUGCCAGCAGCCGCGGUAAUACGGAGGGUGCGAGCGUUAAUCGCAAUUACUGGGCGUAAAGCGCGCGUAGGUGGCUUGAUAAGCCGGUUGUGAAAGCCCCGGGCUCAACCUGGGAACGGCAUCCGGAACUGUCAAGCUAGAGUGCAGGAGAGGAAGGUAGAAUUCCCGGUGUAGCGGUGAAAUGCGUAGAGAUCGGGAGGAAUACCAGUGGCGAAGGCGGCCUUCUGGACUGACACUGACACUGAGGUGCGAAAGCGUGGGUAGCAAACAGGAUUAGAUACCCCGGUAGUC